rnacentral:lncRNA from 1 species
AGGGCACUGAUAUCCUCAGGUAGGCCUCGCAGCCGGUUGCUGGAGACGUCGAGCUCCUCCAGGGCAGCCAGCUGCAGCAGCUGCUGGGGAAAGGCGGUGAGCUGGUUGUGGUCCACGUCAAGGGUCCGAAGGUGGUUGAGGCAGGAGAAGGAAUCUGGCAGAUGCGCCAGCCGGUUGAAGCUGACAUCCAGCUCCUCCAGAUAAUCGAUCAUUUUGUUUAUCUGCUUAAGAGAGCUGAGUAGUGCCUGGGACCUGUCAGCUUUUAGGCAUGCCCCUUAUCACCCCGGCUAUAAAGGAGCUAAGACUGGCUACAAACUCCAGCUGAAUGUUCCUGUCCCUACACAUCUUUCCUGUAUUCCAUCUUCGGCAUCCUUGACUCUCCUCCAUCUUGACAGAUCUUUGACUCGCACCCAAGCUGAAGUUUCACUGCCACCCAUGUGACCUUGUACCUCUCCGAGAUCUCCACCCUUAUCAUAUCAUCAGCCUUACCCUCUCAAAGGGCACUUCACCAUUUCCUCUCCUGUGAAUAUGCAUUGAGAUGGGAAACUUCCUUUGGAUGCUGGCUUCUUCUCGGGUCUCUCAGUUCCAGAAAACACUGUGUCCCAGAAAAGCCAUUCCUUCGCUUGGUUCAACUGCUUUGGACUCUGAAAAUAGCUCUGAUUUCAUUCACUCAGCUGCUCUGGAGUUCAGAAGUGAAGACACUCGUGGCUGGAAGUUUUAACUAACUCUGGAGUAUAGAAAGGACCUGUCUGGUCCUAAAACAAAAUUUGCUGAUCAGGAAACCCUACAGAGCUAAGGGCAAUCAGGGCCAGGUUACUACAUCUUAGGAGAAGGUGAAUUGAACCCUCAAAGUCUGGAAAGGUUGAGUACCGCAUCUAUUUGGAACAAGCUCAGAACCUUUUAGAACCUUUACCUCUUCCUUUCUCAAAUGGCCUCUAUUUCUGAAAAGCCAAAUUAAAAAGGAGACGGGCUAUUCAAAACCUUGGAGGUGAGAUCAUCUGUGCUAUCUUUAGCUGAAUAGGGAGGAGAAGUAUUGCAAAGUGUUGGCUAGGUCUAAAAUUACAAGAGAGGAGAAGUCUGGGGGCCCACCCUGGCAUCCAUGGUGAAGGCUGAAGUGUUCAACGUGCAACUACUUAAGAAGAAACUUCCACUAUUGCCCUCUUUCUAUAGCCAGAAAUAAAGGCAGCAUGGUAGUCAUGUUACCCAGGCCACUGAUAUCGAGUCCCAGUGACUGCAGUGUCUGAGAGUCACCUCGGCCAGUCACAGUAGCUGACAUGUAUAAAGAAUUUCCAUGUCUGCAAGGCAUGGUGCUGUAGCUUUUUAUCUAAUACUCACAAGUUUCCUGAGUUGGGGGCUCUAAUGCUACCCCAGAAUUGAAAUCCAAGAGACAAUAGUAGUAAGAUGUAAAAGCAAAGCAUGGCAGAAGGCAACGCUCAGACAGCUGGUCCCUGAGCUUGAAGAUUUGUGGAAGGUACAUGUGACCAGUCUUGGCUCUCUGGGUAUUUUAAGCCAAAGAGUAGUAAGGCCAGGUACAGAGGAGAACUGGCAUUGGCUUCAGGGGACAUUGUACUGGGCUCUUAUAGAUACAUUCAAAGAAUGUCACGCUGGGCAGGCACAAACCUCUUAAACCAACAGUCUUCCCAAACCGUGGCUCAGAGCUUGACAUCGGGACCACAAGCUCGCUGCGAGCUGUUAUUUCAUUUGCUUUACAUGGCUGGUAUUUAAAAUCAGUGUCUAUGCAACCUGCACCUCAAUUAAAAGGCAGUUCAUAAUCUAUAUUUUGAUAAGGAUUUUUUAAAGACUCAUUUGUCAAGCUGAGAUUAAAGGCAAAGAUCAGACAUCA